CCUACGGGAGGCAGCAGUGAGGAAUAUUGGUCAAUGGGCGGAAGCCUGACGCAGCCAAGUAGCGUGCAGGAUGACGGCCCUACGGGUUGUAACCUGCUUUUAUACGGGAAUAACGCGCCUUACGUAUAGGGCUUUGCAUGUACCGUAUGAAUAAGGGCCGGCUAACUCCGUGCCAGCAGCCGCGGUAAGGCGGAAGGUCCGGGCGUUGUCCGGAUUUGUUGGGUUUAAAGGGAGCGUAGGCCGCAUGUCAAGCGUGCUGUGAAAUGUCCGGGCUCAACCCGGGCCUUGCAGCGCGAACUGGCGUGCUUGAGUCCGCGGAAGGCAGGCGGAAUUCGUCGUGUAGCGGUGAA
rnacentral:rRNA from 1 species